UACGAAGGGUGCAAGCGUUAAUCGGAAUUACUGGGCGUAAAGCGUGCGCAGGCGGUUUUGUAAGACAGGCGUGAAAUCCCCGGGCUUAACCUGGGAAUGGCGCUUGUGACUGCAAAGCUGGAGUGCGGCAGAGGGGGAUGGAAUUCCGCGUGUAGCAGUGAAAUGCGUAGAUAUGCGGAGGAACACCGAUGGCGAAGGCAAUCCCCUGGGCCUGCACUGACGCUCAUGCACGAAAGCGUGGGGAGCAAACAGG
rnacentral:rRNA from 1 species